rnacentral:lncRNA from 1 species
GGGAUUGCAGUGGCAAAGCUAGGCUAGGUCUUGGAGGCUGGUGUAAGGCGAUGUGGGUGAAGGCAGGAGGCUGAUGGAAAGACUGGGGGGAAGAAAAGCCGAAAUGGAUUCACGGUGCCUUGGAUGAAGGACGAGAGGGGAACUGCAAGCUCCUUCAACUGGUUCUGUCCGGUGAGAAGUGAUCAAGCUUGGGCUGACAAGAGGCUCAGGGAGCCCUCACGUUCUUUCGCUUUUUUACCUGCCAAUCAAACUGCUACAAGACAACACCCUGAUCUGGCAUGGACAUCGCGGGUCCAAGCCUGUAGCCCCAAAUCGGAUAAUCUCUGCAGCUGAUAACAAGCAAAAGAGAAGCCAGGCAACAGCCAUAUUAAAGAAGAAAACAAUCAACUCUGAGCAGGAAGAAAUGUAAUGAAUUGAGUGCUGUCAGAGAUGUCUUCUGUUUGAACAAUCUGCGAUGGGCUGAAUGGCAGGGACUCCCUCAUCCAGUGCAGAUCCAACUUAGAAAUAAUGUUUCAUUCAAGAUAAGGCUCGUGGCUUAGGAGAUUGUGACCUGGCUUGCAUCAUUCUAAGACUUCUAUCGUCUGUUUUCAAAACCCAAGGAGGACCUCCUUUUCUGUGUGAUAGUUCCUCAUGCUUUGCCAGCCACUGGGUCUUUAAGGAAGCUUGCCAAGAGUUCCCGGCUGGGAAGGACAGUUCGAGUUCAUCAUAGACAAUGAGCUGGCACCACAGUUUAAGUGACUCACCAACCUGGUU